CAGCCACUGCUCCAAGUUUCCAUUAUUGACAUACUCAUAAACCAGCAUCCUGUGAACGCCUUCAAUGCAAUAACCAAGAAGACGCACUAGAUUCUUGUGUCUAACAUGACCAAUUGCCUCUACUUCAACCCGAAACUCUUUCUCAGCUUGGCCAAGAUUAUUUAGGAGCUUCUUUACAGCAACUUCUGUACCAUUGAUCAACCUUCCUUUGUAAACCACACCAUAUCCACCUUCGCCAAGCACAUUCUCAGCAGAGAAACGAUUUGUUGCAAGUUCAAGAUCUCUAAGCGUGAACCAAUGGCCCCACCCGAGCUGUGAGACUUCUGGCAAGCCAAUCAAAGGAGAAGGCAUUGCAAUACCAUAGGAUGGUUGUUUUCGCACUGUUCCUGAACUUCCCUCUUCCCCUGACUGUGAACUAAAGCCCCUUUCAUGAUGAUAUAUUGAACUACAUUG
rnacentral:misc_RNA from 1 species